UCAAUGCAAUGUAUCAUAUUACUGAGAAAUGUUACACGAGGAUACGUAACAAGUAAAGUUAUUUCAUCAGAAUUGUUUCGAAAUCGUAAUUUCUUCUCUUCAUAUAAAAUGAAUAUUUCGGCGAUUAUUUGAUGAAGUUUUGUUCUUCGAUCGAUAUAUGAUAUAAUAAUGAUUAAGAAUCGUGUUUUCAUUGAGUCGAUUCACGAUUUUCGCAAUUCGGAAUGGAACGAGAUUCGAAGGUAUAUGAUUUUCGAGGUUCGUUGAACACGUGCACGCACGUAAUUCGAGCGUCUGACUGAGACGUGUAAUUUUCACGAUUGCAACGAGGAAACUGAUCCCUUUUUACUGCACACACUUGCUCCUCCCUGUGCUUGAUCAAGUGUAAUUACUGUGAAUAAUGCAGCGGGGUGUUAACAGUACGAAACCAGAGUUAUGAAUCUCGUUCGAUGUUGUGUAAUUUGCCGGCAAUUUGCUGAGAAUCUUCAUAUACACACUACCCGUAUGUUUUACGGAGGGAUCCCGGUCCGGGAUUGGAGAUUUUUCACAAAGGGAAUUUUCCUAAGGGAUUAUAGGCGUUUGUCCCGCUUUCGGAUCGAAACUUAUUAUUCUUCCGAUACGACGUUUUACCUACGCUCUUACGGUAUUAAGGU